AGUGAACGCUGGCGGUAGGCCUAACACAUGCAAGUCGAACGGCAGCACAGUAAGAGCUUGCUCUUACGGGUGGCGAGUGGCGGACGGGUGAGGAAUACAUCGGAAUUUACUUUUUCGUGGGGGAUAACGUAGGGAAACUUACGCUAAUACCGCAUACGACCUACGGGUGAAAGCAGGGGAUCUUCGGACCUUGCGCGAUUGAAUGAGCCGAUGUCGGAUUAGCUAGUUGGCGGGGUAAAGGCCCACCAAGGCGACGAUCCGUAGCUGGUCUGAGAGGAUGAUCAGCCACACUGGAACUGAGACACGGUCCAGACUCCUACGGGAGGCAGCAGUGGGGAAUAUUGGACAAUGGGCGCAAGCCUGAUCCAGCCAUACCGCGUGGGUGAAGAAGGCCUUCGGGUUGUAAAGCCCUUUUGUUGGGAAAGAAAAGCAGCAGGUUAAUACCCCGCUGUUCUGACGGUACCCAAAGAAUAGGCACCGGCUAACUUCGUG
rnacentral:rRNA from 1 species